GGCGGUGGCAGCGGCCCCUUCCCGAGGAGCGGCGGGGACGGAGCCCGCGAGUGCCCGACCCCGGUGUCCCCCGUGUCCCCACGUGCAGGCUCCUCCGUGUUUCUCUCCAAAAGCAUUUCAAGCUCGACACACAGAAGCUGUUUCUCCAUGAGCAGCUGUGGGGCAUUUGGCUGAUGGUUUUGACAGUAGAGAUGAAUCGAGGACACGGCAUCUGCAGUCCUGACCUGGAAUUUGAACCUUUGGUGCCUCUCCCUCCUCCCAGGUGGAGAGGAGGUGGAAGAUCUCACAAUCUUCUGAUUGCCAUCAAUCUGAGCUGAUUUGCUGAGCAUUGGCCUCAUAUCAUGUCUAGGUGUUCCUUGAGAGAUGAUUUCAAUCUGAAAAAAAACCCUGUAAGUAUCUUGAGAGCUGGAAAUCAGAUGCUCUGAUCUAACAUUUCUUCAGCAUUUAGCCAUCACCUCUACAAGCAGCACCUCAUUAAAAAAAAAAAAAAUGAAGCAUAAGGAAAAGCAUGAGAAUGUUGCUGAUUUUGAGCCCUGACUUACAUGUUUUUCCUUUCUGAUAUUUUUGGAGGGAAGAGGGAAUUGCAUCAUAUUUUUAUCCUCUUUUUUUCCCCCCCCCAACAUCUGUGAGGAGUAGACAUUUCUUUAACAGAGGAAAAAAAAAAAAUAGAGAUUUCCAGGUGGUAACAUGGCUGAAAGAAAACAUGAAUACAUGGAAAUUCAUGCUCAUUAGUACCAGUACAUAUGUGACUCUGUAGAGCUGAAGCUAACCAGGACCAGUGUAUAGGGAUGAGAACUGCACAUAAUUGAAAUCCUGAUUAAUUAAAAGCAAUGUCUUGGCACAGACAAUGAUGGAGCAUCCUUGGGUGGAUCUGCAGGUAUUCCAGUGGACAUGUGCACCAGGGCCUGCUACCUGUGCUGGGGUGAAGCUUUGUGUGGGCAGGCAAGGGGCAGGAAAGUGGCUUUGCCAAGAAAACCAAGCCAAGAGGAGCAGUGAGCCACCUCUUCACUGCAGCUUCAGGUGUGUUGCUGCACCCAGCACACACGCGCCCCAUGCUUCUCCAGGGGCUCCACGCUUGGAACAGCUGCUGGAGUAUGUGUGGGAUCAGGAAGGGAAUCCAGUGCACACAGGGGAGUGUCCUUUUUGUGCAGGACAAUAAACAAAACCCUGAAAGGGUAGUUGUGGGUCCAGCAGCCCUGGGGGGGGCCCACAUUGCUGGAACCACCAGCUUCACGGAAUAUUUUCCUGGAGUUAAAUAAUGGUUUUCUAGAGAUAAAAAUUGACCACAUUUCCUUUCCUCCCCCCAUGCCAAAGGCUUUUUUUUCACCUGUGUGCAAAAUACCCAGCAGAAACUCCAUUAUUGGAGUGAUUGGGUCCAAUGCCAUGAGAAGGGACUGCUCCACACACCUUAGGAAGUGCAAAAAGCAGAAAGAAAAGAAGGUAGAGCCCUCGGUGCUGUGCCCGAUUGCUCAUCAAAGCCAGCUGCCUCCUGUGCUGAGCUGAGGAUGUGACAGAUGUCUGUAACCUUUACAGGUGCAGGGCCUGCAUUUCAUCAGUCUUUUUUCUAUGGAUGACCUGGAGUGUGGAUUAUUAGCAGCUCAGAUUUCUUUGGCCGAGGUGCUGUGUUGUGUACACAUCCGGGUUAAAUCUAAACAAUAUUUCUGAUCCAUGUAGGCUUCUGACUUGGUUCUGCAUCUUUGGUGUUUAAAAAAUGAUCAGUUUGAGCUCUCCCUGUUCUGUUUCUUAAAUGUCAGAAGAAACUUUUUUUUUUUUUUAAUAAAACAAUUCAGCCUUCCCCUGCAAUGUUCAUAACCAAGAAAUUGUGGCAUCACAAGAGCAUGAGGAAAUACCGGCUGAUUAAAACCAGGGUAAGAAAUGACGGCAAAAGUGUUUGUCUUUUUUUCCCCUCAUUUUAGAAUUCACAAUGAAGUGGCUGGCAAAAGGGGACCAGUUGGUUCAGCCCCACUUGGGCUGAAUAUGAGGUUUAAUGCACUGAAACUACUUCCACUGGCAAACUUUAGUGUCAUAAUUUAAUUUCUCAUGUAAAGCACAUCUCACAGCAUUACUUUUUCCCCACAUCUCUCUGUUUUGACAAAGCAGAGCGUGUUUGGUCUAUUGUUGGCUUUCUUUGCCUCUUUUUUUGUCUUUUUCUUGCCUCUCAUUAAUAUACAAGUGUCAUUAAAUAAUAAUGAUGCUGGUAGUGA